UAGAAGGGUGGGAUGGUCCAGCUAAUUCAGCAGUCAUUGCUCGCCGCAUUGCAACAUUAGCUCGUGUAUUAGACGACGACCUAUCUACAGAUAGCCAUACUCCAUCUGUUGAAGAUGCCUGGGAUACAGCUGAAGCUGGAGCCGAUCUUAGAAUAUCACGAUCAUCUUGAAAGAAGGAAUCUCUUGAACUCUGACUUGGUGGAACUACAGAUCCAGGGCUUGAAGGUGGUGAAUCUAUGAUGCUUGAAUUUGGGCUUGAUGGUGAACUAGCUGAUGCAGCGAUAUGACAGCAGAGGAGAUCCUAACUGUCCAUUAUGGACAGUUUAGGGAAUAUGUGGCAGAAUGCAGCCACGAACUGGAAGAGGAGGAAGAAGAGGAGGAAGAAGAAAUAGAAG